UUCCUGUGCCUUUUGAUUGAGUGUUUCAAUGGAAGUCCAGAAUUCCAGAUGAGCAUGGGACUCCGGUCCGGCAGUACACCCUGCCCUGAGCAGAAACUCUGAGGAUGUUCUGUCCAACACACAUUAAGGGACCAGGCAGGCAGGGCUCUAUGCCUCCGUUUCUUUACUCAUGAAAUAAGACAAACACACCCAUCUCCCAUGCGAUGUACCCCCUAGCAAGAAGAAAUGAGAAAGUGCUGGGGGAGUGUUUUGAAUCUGGAGGCAGAAGAUGCCAUACCAUCCAAUUCAAGAGAAAGGGAUAAGAUCUUAUAUUGGUGGACCUGUGAAUUACAUGGGAGACAGUUCAAAGACUCCAGGACAACCUCUGUUCCAAGGCCUUCAGAAGACACAUCGUGAUUGUCGCAAAUCCGGUAGUGAGACACAGAGAGACCAAAGUCAAUGCAGAGAAGUCCAUCUUCUGUCUGAAACUCCCUUCUGGGACUUCCUUUGUAUUCAGGGACAGUCCCCAUUGGGCAGGAUUCCUUGGCAGGAAGCACAUCCAGCCAACCUCUGGGGCUAAAGGGGCCAGAUGUAUACUCUCCCUGUCAGCUGGCAACUGAAGAGUGCAUUUCCAAAGCUUGGCCAAGCAAUGCUCUUACCUGGGAUUCUGGAGUGUAGGGCAUUAUUCAUGCAGGAGCAGCAGGAAUGGGGAUGUAGUUGACCCUUGCUGCCAGUGGUGUGGAAGGUCCAGUCAGAAGGGCCCAAAAACAUGUUGUUCCUGCUGAGCUGAUUGUUCAUGCCUCAGUUCCUGCCUAUUUCCCAAGCCUGGCUCUGCCACCAUCACAUUGGUUUGUGAGCUACCUGAGAUCACUGCAAUACAUUCCCUUCCUGCUUAAGUUAGCCAGCAUUUGUUUAUUAUGCUUGUGACCAAGGAUCCCACCUGAUACACCAUUUGUUGCCUCUCAAUGCUUGCUCUGCCUAGCUCUUACUGUCAGAGAUGUAUGAGAAAAUGAAGAAUGUUAAAGAAUUUUUUAUGCUAAAUACUGAAGAAUGCUAAAUAAAGGACUUAAGAAGGAACUAACAACAGCCACUUUGCAACAACAUCUCAUCAUCUUUAGCAGAGAGAAUAACAGUAACAGAGCAACAGCCCAGGCAAAACAACCAAAUGAUCCAAUAUCCAGUAGAAAUCACCAGCCAGACAGGGGACUCCACAAAGAAAGAGGAACAAAGUCACAAGCCAGGAACUCAAGAAUUACAGUAACCUAUUGAGGACAAUGUUAAGUGAGGACUUGC
rnacentral:lncRNA from 1 species